AUGGACAGUUGUGCAGGUUGGACUUUGUACGAGCUUGUCUGGCAGGGAUACAUGGGAUUAAUAUCCAGCCCAGACCUUGCAGGCACAUAUGUUCCACCUCCAGCUCCACCCAGCAAGGAGGAAGAGCAGGAUACAAGGCCUUGCACGGUGCUUGCACACACCACUUCUGCCAGCAUCCCAAGGACAAGAACUCAGGUCCACAGCAGCAUCUGGCUGCAGUGGAGGCCAAGCACUGCCCACUUCGUUUCCAGCAGCCAUGCGCGCAGCAGAAAAUCGGAGGUGUUUCCAUUAAGAGGCCACAGGAUGCGCUGUUGGGUGGAAGGUGGAGUGCGCAUGAGAAGCGUCGAAGACUCGAUGACUCCACUGGGGCUGAGAAACAAAGAGUGAAGCAACCUUUUCCAGAGAGGGGAAAGCGUGCAAAAGGAGCAAGGAAGGGUUGUGGCUCAAAUAUGCUAUAUUUGAGUUUGUGAAAGAUGAAGAAAGAAAGAAAGAAAGAAAGAAAGAAAGAAAGAAAGAAGGAAGGAAGAGAGAAAGUGGACUGAGUACCAGUGGUGUCCUCAGCACUCUGCUAGGCACAGUUGCAUGGGUUACCACUUUUACAGUCAACACAGCAGGGAAGAGCUGCAUCUGCCCGAGUCGCCAGCACCAUCUUCAGUGACGUCAUCACGUAACAGCAAGGAUGUCUCCUAAAGAGAGAAGGCCCACCAGUGGAGCUCCGUAAGCAGACUCCAGAUAACAGCAAUGGGGAACCAGCAUGGAGUGGUCAUCAGGCAUUGUCACCCACAGUUCUAUCCAAACCUGGGACUCGAUGUGUCCAAAUCAUACCAUUCUAGAACUGUACAGCAGCCUUCCCCUCAUCAAAAUGUCAGCACAUGUAGCACAUUAUGCCAGCAGGAAUGACAGCAUGCAAUUAUGCUGAGGUCAGACUGCCAUGAACGAAAUUGGGCUCCAUUACUACCAAUCAUACUAUAUGCCUAUUUCCUCAUCUGUAAGGUAGGAGUAGCAAUAGAUGUACUCAUUCUAAAAUCCAGUUACAGUGUUUCAAUACCAUCUGGACCAUAGUAAGUGCUCAUUAAAUGUUAGCAUUUAUUCAGUUCAAUCAACUCUUACAUACUGUGCCACCCGGGACCCAUGCGUAUCUGUUUGGCCCACUCUCACACACAAAAUCAGACUAAUUCCAUCUAGAAAGAGUGGGCUUAGGCCUUGGAGACUGAGCUACUCUAAUGGGGGUACAGCAGCACCAGCCAAACUGGCCCCCUUUCUGCUCCAUGAGUUGGCCCGUCCACCUUGGCCAAUGUGCAAAAAUGUUUGUGGCGAACUCAUUUGUUUUCCUUUCUGUUAGGUCGGCCUUCCAAAGGCAAAGAACUGCUGAAAUUAACCCAAGGCAGGGGCCAGUGGAGCAGACGGGGUCUGGGCUAGAGCCAGGCGUAAUGAAGUGGAAAAUGUUCACACCACAGGCAGCAUUACAAUGCACCUGUACAAACAGAACUCAGCCUGCCAUCCCUUCCUUCGGGGCCCAGCUGCCUCUCGGACUACUCUUUUAUGGCUUCACUCCUGGCCAUGCCUGGUCAACGUCAAGGUCUCUAAUGAAGAUAAGAGACAAAGGCCUCCAGAGAAGAGCUGGUAGAGAUGGAACAGAAGAGACGAAAAUGAGCAAAGGUACGCUCAGCACAGACAUCUCCUGAAAGUUCUGGGGAGUUCUCUGAAGACCAUGUUACCUAAAACAGGGAAGAACUACAGCACAGCUCAUGAAGAUUGAAGUUACGUGGCAAGAUUGAGGUAGAAAACUUUCACAUUGCUUGGCUCACUUCCCACACCCAUAUGAUCAGGCUCCAUUCUGCAGACAAGGAAACUGAGGCCCAGGGAGACAAAGCCAGCAGGUGACCAUGUCAAGAUUCAAGCCCAGGAACCAUGAUUUGUCUUCUGUACUCAGACCAGUGUUGAGUGAUGUUCUCAAAGCCACGCAGCUAUCAAGUGGGAAGCUGGAAGUCCUGGUGUGGUGGUUACUGCUCCACUAGGCAGCAGGAAGAGAACUUGGGGACAUCAAGGCCAGGCUGUCCUGAAGACUAGGCCAGUGAAGACAAGGGGCCUGGGUUUCCCCAGAGCAAGGCCUGUGGACCACAGUGCUACCAUGAGGGAAGAUGGGGAAAAGACAAACCAUAGUUCUUGACAUAGUGUGGCUCUACGUCUCCCAAUUUCACAAGGGCUCAGUUUGUCCCUCCCUGAGAUGGACCUUCCAUGGGCACUAAAUAGAAGGACUUUGUAAGGCACUUCCAAGGUCUAUUGCUCUUCACUCCUCUCAGACUCAACCUUAAGUCACACCCAACUCUAAUUGUCAUAACCAGAAGCUUUCUUACCACCAUGGGGGGCGGAGGGACAAAGGUCAAAAGUAGACAUCAUUACAACUGCCACAUACCUGGCCCUCACCUCUCAUUGCCAUCUUCUUAAACAUCAGUGGUUAGGGGCAUAAAGAGAGGGAAUGGAGAUAGUUACUCCCCACAGGGAGUCUGACAUAUAGCAGGCCCUCAGUGAUCACUAACACCUUUGACAAGCUAUGGGUUCUUUGCAGAUCAGAACCUGCUGCUUUAUAGCAUCCAAUCAUAGUGUCAUGCAGCCUGCAGUAACUGCCUAGUGAAUGCCUGUCUGUUGAGUGCAGGAGCUUUUCCGUCGCUCCCAUCCUCCUGGUUUAGGCAACAUCCAGGACUGUGUUUGGGCCUUUCUAAAUGCCCUGGGGCCAGUUUGACGCACAUCUCCCGGGGUGCCUCAUGGCUUCUCAGAGUUCAACCUCACCUAAUUCAAACUUAGCAGUAAGCUAUGUUUGCCAUUCUUCAUGGUUGAUGUUUAUAUGGCUGCUCUGAACUUUUAUAAUUAUUACUGUUUAAUUUAAAAAGAAGUUUAAAUUUUGCAAUGUACAAAAAAGUCAAGAUUGCCAUGUUUUGGUAAAAUGCUUCAUUCUUCAGUUUUCCCCAUUCGAUACACUUUCUCUGGUCCCUAUGUGGUAGGCAGCAUAAGGACCUCACUGUCCCUGGAGAAACAGACAUUGAAAUAAGCACAUUUAAUACAUUAUGAUUCCUGAAAUACUGAAAACUGCAGAGAGAAACUAGUUACAAGUGUGGAGAGUUAGCCUCCAUUUUGUCUUGAAAAGUGUUUAUCUAAGCCGGUAAUGCCAUAUACCAUAUGGCCCUAACUGCAUCAAGUGGCCUCCAUCUUCAGGGCUGAGGAGGUCCAAAGACAUGGCCUGUUUUCUUCCUGCAUCUUGAGGGAAUAAACAGAUGAGUACAGUUUAGGGCAAGAUUUCCCAAGUCAAUUCUACUACCUUAUGGGCAGGGCCAUGUUGGAAUAAGUCAAGGUUCUAGUAGAAAAUUAACGCCAGAAGAUCAGGAGGAUACCACAGGAUGAAAGAAAAGAAUCUCUCUCUCUCUCUCUCUCUCUCUCUCUCUCUCUCUCUCUGCAGAUUUCCCUCAUCUUUGUGAUUCUUACUGAAACCUGGAAGUAACUCUUUCAAGAAAGAGUUUAAGUGAUUUCAAGAGCACCCAGCCAGGGCAGGUGUUUCCCGUGGCUAGGAGGACACUCCUACUCCUUCAUGCUCCUGCUUGAGCAUCCCUUCUCUAAUUUACUGUGAGGCUCUUGACCACAGUAGCACUUCCUAUGACCAUCCUCUAGUGGCAGCAAGUUUCACAAGACAUAUGAUAUGUCGUCUUCAACCUUAUAGUUCUAGUAGGCGAGUGUCCUGACCAGCCCAAAGUAAGUGCUUCAUAAGUAUUUGUCAUCUGAAUAGAUGACUGAGUGGAUGAAUAAUGCCACGUUCAUUUACAAGCGCACUGUGGUUUUAUCUUUCUCGGAAAUAUUAUAACCCACUUGCUCCUAAACAGAUUUUUCAAAAUCACAUUCUAUGAAAUGUUACCAAUUCAUGAGAUAAUUUUACUGAACUAAUAAAAAGUUAAAAAAUAAGAAAUAGGGAUUCUUUUUGUUUUCAAACAAAAUUUAUCACAUAUACAUAAGAAGAGUUCAUUACCGUCACAGUG
ensembl:lncRNA